rnacentral:rRNA from 1 species
UACGUAGGGUGCAAGCGUUGUCCGGAAUUAUUGGGCGUAAAGAGCUCGUAGGCGGUCUGUCGCGUCUGCUGUGAAAACUCGGGGCUUAACCCCGGGCCUGCAGUGGGUACGGGCAGACUAGAGUGCGGUAGGGGAGACUGGAAUUCCUGGUGUAGCGGUGAAAUGCGCAGAUAUCAGGAGGAACACCGGUGGCGAAGGCGGGUCUCUGGGCCGGUACUGACGCUGAGGCGCGAAAGCGUGGGGAGCAAACAGG